GCCGAGAUGGUGGAAUGGCAGACACUCACGACUCAAAAUCGUGCGGGGGUAACCCCAUGAGGGUUCAAGUCCCUCUCUCGGCA
rnacentral:tRNA from 1 species